CUAAAAACAAAUUAAGACAACAAUCAGAAUUAAAACAACAAAAAAUUCAUAACAAAAAUCAAAUACCAAAACAGAAUAAGUAAUCGAGCUGCAUGUUUCAGCCAAAACUAAAAUAUUUUUUCUCGCCCCUCAAUCGCAAACUAAACGCCAAAACGUGCAGGAAGUGAAGUGAAAGCCCAAAGUGCGCGACAAUUCGGAAUAAAACGCUUGCAAAUUAUGCACAAUUGCUCGAGAAUUCAAAUAACGGGCAACCGCACAAAAAAACUGAAAAAUUUGCCGAUUAUAAAAACAAUAAAAAACAGCAGAAAACAAAAAAUCUAGUUCAGUGAGUUGUGAAAAUGCUUUGGCAAGCGAAAACUAGUGAAAUUGUGCUGACUGCGCUAACUACGCGCUACUGCAAUAGCACAAACAACAACAUUGUCGGGCUGCCAUAGACAUUGCGAAUUGUCGCCGCCGCGAAAACAAAACUACGCACGCGUGCGUUUGUCGGUUGCAUACACAAGUGACUGCGACAGCAUAACGGGAACGUGAACGAGAACGCGCUUAGCAUAAAUAAAAUAUUCUCGAUAAUUUCGAUGCAUGAAAUUUGAAUGAGGCAAGCGUACAAACAAAAAUACUAACACAUACAUACAUACAUACAUACAAACUAACAGAAAUAUUUUUGUGCUAGCGUAUGUGCGUGUUUGUGCCACUGAUAUGAGUGAUAUGUUGUUGUAAAGUAGUUGUUGUAUGCAACAUUUCAACAUUUCCCAAAACUGAAACUGACAGUAGCGACAACAUUUCAAACAAGUGAUAACGGAAAAAUUACAACAACAAAAACUCAUUUGCAAACAGCUAACAGAUGCACUAAAUGCGCUUGUGUAUGCGUAUGUGUGUAUAGUAAACGAAAGCAGCUGCCAGCGCCGCACGAGUGACUCACCGCUUGCCAAGCAGCGCACAAGUUACCGUUAGAGCAUAUUAAUAAUGCGCAUGUUUGCAUAUAUUUGCAGAAAAAUGAAUAGAGCGUUGAAAUGUAGCAGCUGCUGCUGAAAUAUGGCCAGCUGUAAAUGUGUGUGAGCGACCCGACACAGUCGUUGUCAUAAAAGCGACAUUUGAAAUACAAAAAAAAAAAAUCUAAAAAUAAACGCAAAAAUUAUUGACAUUAAAAUUUCAUAGCGCACAUGCAAAAUGCUAAAAAUUUCAAAUCGUUGCAACAGUGUCAAUGCCGUGCAAAAUGUAAACAAGCAAAUCGCUUUUCCCUCGCCUAACAACAGUGAAGCGUUACGCUUGACCUCUCCGCUGACCAUGUCAACAAGCAACUACGUAGUGUAAACCAAAAAGUUGCAAGUGAGCUAGACAAACAAAACGGUAAAUAAAAAAGCUGAAAAAGUUUUGCGCUGAGCCACGAGUGAAAGUGAAAGUCGAAGUGCAAGUUCAACAGAAGCUGCAAAUAAUUGAAAACCUUGAAAAUAAAUUAAUUGAAAUAAGCUGUGAGUGCCGCUAACGCCCAGUUUGUUGAAGCGAAUUGUGUUUGAGGAAGUAGCAGGGAAAACAUAUUUGAGAUAAUAAAAAAAGUUAAACAUCAGCAGUCAACAUGCUGCCGCAGCGUUGCCUCUGUGGCAACAACUUGCUGCGCAUCACCAUGAUGGUAGUGUUCGGCUUGGCAAAUCUAAAUAAUGGUCUUACAUCGUACGUUACGCAGGACAACAUUAAUAAUGAACUACACCGAAAUGUAAAUCAAAAUUUAAUUAUGUCGCCCGCGUCGGCCGGCAUUUCCGGUCCCAUUGUGACGAGCAAUUAUAACGGGCCUGCGCCGCAGCCGCCCGCCCAGCCAGCCCCCGGCCACGGCAGUUUUCAUGGCAGCUACAGCGCCGCCUUCACAGCUUCAUCAGAUAUGCCUUAUCCGCCUUCUUCUAUUUCGGCGUCCUCAUCGUAUCACCAACACCAACACCAGCAGCAGCAGCAACAGCAGCUGAAUCUACAACAACCAUACCAUCAAGCAAGUGGGAGUAGCAUAACAAGUUUUGAUUCGGCAAAUGUAAUUGAUGAGCGACACCAACAGCGGCACACCCAUCAACAUCAGCAGCAACAACAACAGCUACAGCACUUGGCGCGCCCUCUGCACAAAGUGAUUGGCGUGGGGCUCGGCGGUGGUGCUGGUGUUGGUGGGUUAGAGCACAACAGCCUUGGCGAGGCGACGCUGGACGGCUCAGCCGAGAGCGCCAACGCCGGCUUGGAGGAGAUCUACGCCGCGCCCAUGUACUUCGGCACGGAGAACUCCACAAUUGUGACGACGCAAAUUGGCGCGUCCGCACAUAUACCCUGCACCGUGCAUCACAUUGGCGAUGGUGUGGUAUCUUGGAUACGCAAAAAAGACUAUCAUCUACUGACAGUGGGACUGACUACCUACAGCAGUGAUGAGCGAUUCAGCGCCACGCAUUUGAAGCAUUCCGAGGAUUGGACGCUGCAAAUAAAAUUUGUGCAACUACGUGAUGCGGGCGUCUAUGAAUGUCAAGUGUCAACCCAUCCGCCCACAUCAAUAUUUCUGCAUUUGAAUGUUGUCGAAGCGCGUGCUGAAAUCUCUGGACCGCCAAUACGCUAUCUGACACCGGGCUCUACGCUGCGCCUGCAAUGUCGCGUCGUGCAGAAUACGGAGGCGUCCGAGUUCAUAUUCUGGUAUCAUGACAACCGCAUGAUCAACUAUGACAGUGAUCGGGGCAUCAAUGUUUCGACGGAGCCAGAUUUCCAAUCAUCGGAGUUAACAAUACAACGCACACGCCGUGAGCAUUCCGGAAAUUUUACCUGCGUAGCCAGUAAUACACAACCUGCAAGUGUGUUGGUGCAUAUUUUCAAAGUUUGGAGACCGUGCCACAGGUUCACAAAGUAAGAUAAGCGCUCACCAAAAGUUUCCUUCAAUAAAUUGAUUGUUGUUGGCUGUAUGACGUGUAGCACCGAAUUUUGCGAACCAAACGUUGUCAACAUAAACAUCACUCAUUUGUGGCACGGAAAAGUCUUUAAUCAUCAUGUUUGACCAAAGAGUGACUUUCUGAGAAGCAUACCCAUUAAACCAAAAAAGAGCUCCAUCGCUGAACAAAAUGUUCUUGUGAAAACCGGAAUCAGUGGACAUCUCGUUUUGGACCUAUUCACCGAACGUGCAAGGCCAUUGAAGGCCGUUGGGCUUCAACUCUUGCAUGAUUUGGACCAAGAAUCUUCCGCAAAAUCUUAGAUAAAGUGUUUGGGUAAAGCUCCAAUUUUUGAGAACGACGGCGGUUGGAUUCAUUCGAGUCUUCUGCCAUACUCUGCUUUACAGUGCCUUCCGUUUGCACUGAUACAGUGGUGCAUUACCAAUCCAUGGUUGCUCGAAUUACAGACUCUGCAGGGCGAUAAUGUACCAAAUACUGGACGCAGCUCGCCAAUCACUAUUUUGGUGAUAAUCCAGCAGCGAUGUAUCACGGUCAUGUGGGCGGAUCGACUAAAUCAUAUCAGACGCAUUUGCAUGGCAUUACGGCCAUA